rnacentral:rRNA from 1 species
CCUACGGGUGGCAGCAGUGGGGAAUAUUGCACAAUGGGGGGAACCCUGAUGCAGCGACGCCGCGUGAGUGAAGAAGUAUUUCGGUAUGUAAAGCUCUAUCAGCAGGGAAGAAAAUGACGGUACCUGACUAAGAAGCACCGGCUAACUACGUGCCAGCAGCCGCGGUAAUACGUAGGGGGCAAGCGUUAUCCGGAUUUACUGGGUGUAAAGGGAGCGCAGACGGCUGUGCAAGUCUGGAGUGAAAGGCGGGGGCACAACCCCCGGACUGCUCUGGAAACUGUAAAGCUGGAGUGCAGGAGAGGUAAGCGGAAUGCCUAGUGUAGCGGUGAAAUGCGUAGAUAUUAGGAGGAACACCAGUGGCGAAGGCGGCUUACUGGACUGCAACUGACGUUGAGGCUCGAAAGCGUGGGGAGCAAACAGGAUUAGAUACCCCGGUAGUC